AGCGAACGCUGGCGGCAGGCUUAACACAUGCAAGUCGAGCGGGCCCUUCGGGGUCAGCGGCAGACGGGUGAGUAACACGUGGGAACGUACCCUUUGGUUCGGAAUAACGCUGGGAAACUAGCGCUAAUACCGGAUACGCCCUUUUGGGGAAAGGCUUGCCGCCGAAGGAUCGGCCCGCGUCCGAUUAGCUAGUUGGUGGGGUAAUGGCCUACCAAGGCGACGAUCAGUAGCUGGUCUGAGAGGAUGAUCAGCCACACUGGGACUGAGACACGGCCCAGACUCCUACGGGAGGCAGCAGUGGGGAAUAUUGGACAAUGGGCGCAAGCCUGAUCCAGCCAUGCCGCGUGAGUGAUGAAGGCCUUAGGGUUGUAAAGCUCUUUUGUCCGGGACGAUAAUGACGGUACCGGAAGAAUAAGCCCCGGCUAACUUCGUG
rnacentral:rRNA from 1 species